GAGCUCGCUUCGGCAGCCCAUACACUAAAACUGNAACGAUACGGAGAAGAUUAGCAUGGCCCCUGCGCAAGGAGGACAGGAAAAUUCGUGAAGCGUUCCAUAGUUUU
rfam:Neotoma lepida isolate 417 scaffold_179, whole genome shotgun sequence.